UGCCGUUUUGAGUGUGUUUGUGUGGCAUGGGGGUUGGGGUUGGGAAAUAUAUAGCAUUUGCCAUCUGCUAGAGGAGCAAAGAUUUGCAGAGUGGAAAAGAGGAGGUGCGAGGAGGUAGAACUGCAGAAACUUGCUUCCCCAGAAGUUCAUGUAUAGGAAAGCCAAGUUAAUGCCACAUAUUUGGAAAAGGUGAUCCCCUAUGUAUAGUUUUCUCUGAUAGGUUUUUUAAAAACCCAGACAAAGUGGAAAUGUCUGACUAUGAAAACUUGGUGAUCUCUACAAUAUAAGGAUUUCACUUCCCUUUGAGGAGGAAGGGAAUGAUUUUAUAACCUCAGACUUCUCUGACUUAACAAAUAGGGACUUAGUAUCAAAUAUGUCUGGUAAAUGCUGAUGUUCUACCUCUCUAAUGCCCAUAGGAAUAUGGAAAGAGAAAUUCUGCUGUGAGAAAUUCAUAGAACUACCUGGCAGAAAAGGAAGGGUGAUAUUGCCUCCCAGGGAACAUUUGGCAACGUCUGAAGAUAUUUUUCACUGUCACAACCGAGGGGAUUCACAGUCUGGUGAGACAAGUUUGAGAUCUCAUAUUUUCAGCUCAUCCUUGAAAACCUUUCUUCGAUUUGACUGACCUUGAUGGCUCCCUGGAAUCUCACCUACAUUUUAUGGGAAAUUCAACUCUCCAGAGAGAAGAGCUUUCAGAUAGCUGCGGGACUUGCAACUGUGACUUUCAGCUUUCGCUUUUGAAUGAGGCUCCAAAUGUCUCAAUGGUGGCACUAUUUCCAGAUUUGGGAGCCCUGCAAAGCUAAUCUGCUCAACCUUCACCUACUGGGUUCAAUGAAUAUGAAAAGCUGCCUUCCUGAAACUUUUCCUUCAAAGAGGGAAUGAUCUCCUGGAAUUCAAGCUUCUACAAGGUGGCUACCUGGUGUUUUCCACUUUUGCCGUCUCCUAAAAAGCAUCAUUCAAGCCUUGCCCUUUCAACCCACUGAACACAUAAACAUGCUUUCUCCUUAACUGAACUUAUGGCCACGAUGAACUUGAACUCUGAGAUUCACAGAGGAGAGUUUGUUUUAACAGCUGCUUUUACAAUGAAGCCCUGGAGUUACUACUCUCAAGACCCCUGGUUCUGAUAGGCCAUCUUUUCACUGUCCUCUGCAUUUUCUAAUGCCCAGCUGUCAAGGAACACCCACUGAAGUUUUCCAAAACAAAGGCACGAAACACAAGAAAGGCAAGAGAAUGCUAAUCACCAGAUGCAUGGGCAUCCUAUGGGGGAACCCCUUACAUGUGGAAUACGGUUUUUCUCCCCA
rnacentral:lncRNA from 10 species